rnacentral:rRNA from 1 species
AUUGAACGCUGGCGGCAGGCCUAACACAUGCAAGUCGAGCGAGCGGCGGACGGGUGAGUAAUGUCUGGGAAACUGCCUGUUGGCGGGGGAUAACUACUGGAAACGGUAGCUAAUACCGCAUACCAUCAGAUGUGCCCAGAGGGAAUGAGCUAGAGGGUGGGGUAACGGCUCACCUAGGCGACGAUCCCUAGCUGGUCUGAGAGGAUGACCGGCCCAACUGGAACUGAGACACGGUCCAGACUCCGACGGGAGGCAGCAGUGGGGAAUAUGGCACAAGGGGCGAAAGCCUGAUGCAGCCAUGCCGCGUGUGUGAAGAAGGCCUUCGGAUUGUAAAGCACUUUCAGCGGGGAGGCGUUACCCGCAGAGGAAGCACCGGCUAACUCCGUGCCAGCCGCCGCGGUAAUAC